UGGAAGAGCCGUCGCUCAACGGAUAAAAGGUACUCCGGGGAUAACAGGCUGAUCCCGCCCAAGAGUCCAUAUCGACGGCGGGGUUUGGCACCUCGAUGUCGGCUCAUCGCAUCCUGGGGCUGAAGUAGGUCCCAAGGGUUGGUCUGUUCGCCCAUUAAAGCGGUACGUGAGCUGGGUUUAGAACGUCGUGAGACAGUUCGGUCCCUAUCUGUUGCGGGCGUAGGAUAUUUGAAGGGAGCUGCUCCUAGUACGAGAGGACCAGAGUGGACGAACCUCUAUUGUACCAGUUGUUCCGCCAGGGGCAUCGCUGGGUAGAUAUGUUCGGAAGGGAUAACCGCUGAAAGCAUAUAAGUGGGAAGCCCACCCUAAGAUAAGAUAUCCCGUGGUAUUCAAGGUUAUUUUAAGCUCUAUCGUAAAGGUUCUUCGGAACUUUUAUAUCGGAGUAGCGAAUAAUUUUGAUCCACCUUAAGACUCCUGGGAGAUCACCAGGUUAAUAGACUGCAGGUGUAAGCACAGUAAUGUGUUCAGCCGAGCAGUACUAAUCAGUCGUGUGGCUUGAUCAU
rfam:Candidatus Desantisbacteria bacterium CG2_30_40_21 cg2_3.0_scaffold_48098_c, whole genome shotgun sequence.